rnacentral:rRNA from 1 species
CAGUCGCCACGGUAAUACGAACCGUGCGAACGUUAUUCGGAAUUACUGGGCUUAAAGCGCGUGUAGGCGGGCCGCCACGUCGGUUGCUGAAAUCCCCCGGCUCAACCGGGGAAGUGGCAUCGAUACGAGCGGCCUUGAGGGGGGUAGGGGGAUCUGGAACUUCCGGUGGAGCGGUGAAAUGCGUUGAGAUCGGAAGGAACGCCCGUGGCGAAAGCGAGGUCCUGGACCCUUUCUGACGCUGAGACGCGAAAGCCAGGGGAGCGAACGGGAUUAGAUACCCCUGUAGUCCCUGUCUCUUAUA